UUCUGAAACAGAUAUUUGAAGUAGGUUUUGUAAUAGGGGAAAUCCGAGAUAUUUGAAGUAGGUUUUGUAAAUAGAUAUAAAGUUGUUUGGGUUGUGUAAAAUUUAGCUACUGAAAAAGUGGUAGGAUUUCCGCUUGAGGUUGAAGAAAGAAAACAUUGAGAGAGUUUAAUGAAGAAGAUGGAGAUUGGAUUUUUAAUGGGAUUGCUCGAAAGGGAUCUAGUUGGGAGAUCAUUGGUUACCUUUUUUUUUUUAAUUAAAUGAAGUCCUUCAUCACAGUGGAUUGUGUUGGCACAGUGACUUCUUAGCACAAUUGUUUGUCAGUAAUUAAAUAAGUUCUCGUAAUGUAAGCUCAAGCAGUCUGUUCUUCACAUAGAUGUUUAUAGAAAUCUGUUUUAACAUAAAUGAGUUUCUAUUCAUGCUUA